AGGUCACUUUUCACACUACAUGUUGAGGAUCUAUGCAGACUCUUCAAUGGCUCCUACACUGCUUAAGUUUUAUUCUAACUUGUGGAUACAUUCGUUUUAGAGCUUCAGCAGGAGAUGAUGCUGCAACGAACUGACAUUUGAGGUCACUUUUCACACUACAUGUUGAGGAUCUAUGCAGACUCUUCAAUGGCUCCUACACUGCUUAAGUUUUAUUCUAACUUGUGGAUACAUUCGUUUUAGAGCUUCAGCAGGAGAUGAUGCUGCAACGAACUGACAUUUGAG